UGUUCUAACCUCCUUGGGAUAUGGCUAGUCUAAACAUUAAGGCAUCACAAGUGGCAACAUCGGUCGCGCCAAACUUCGAAUAUUGUCGUAUAUAUUUGUUUUCGUAUCAAAUUUUAGUAAUGUAACUGUUAAAUCACUCAUCUCAUUUUGAAUUAUUUUGUAGUAUGUGUAAACGAACAUCUCCACAGUGCAUACAUGUAUCAAUACGGUAUGAAAGUAAUCGUAUGCAACCGCAACAAUUAUGAUCUUUUUAUGGGCGACGAUAUGCUUGCAUGUAGCAUAGAAAAUACACACAUACCUGGUGAAAAUGUAAUCGUAACCUUUACCUGGGUGAAAAAGUGAUCGUUCUCCAUUCUGAAUGAAAGUGGUUCCUUAGUGGUGAAGUGAAGAUUCAUUUCCUCUCCAUAAUUUCUCUUACUAGCAGCUAGCAAUGUUUUUCUGGUAUCUGAAAAAUUCAGCUUCAUGUGUAAAAGCUUUACACA